rnacentral:rRNA from 1 species
GAUGAACGCUGGCGGCGUGCCUAAUACAUGCAAGUCGAGCGAACGGACGAGAAGCUUGCUUCUCUGAUGUUAGCGGCGGACGGGUGAGUAACACGUGGAUAACCUACCUAUAAGACUGGGAUAACUUCGGGAAACCGUAGCUAAUACCGGAUAAUAUUUUGAACCGCAUGGUUCAAAAGUGAAAGACGGUCUUGCUGUCACUUAUAGAUGGAUCCGCGCUGCAUUAGCUAGUUGGUAAGGUAACGGCUUACCAAGGCAACGAUGCAUAGCCGACCUGAGAGGGUGAUCGGCCACACUGGAACUGAGACACGGUCCAGACUCCUACGGGAGGCAGCAGUAGGGAAUCUUCCGCAAUGGGCGAAAGCCUGACGGAGCAACGCCGCGUGAGUGAUGAAGGUCUUCGGAUCGUAAAACUCUGUUAUUAGGGAAGAACAUAUGUGUAAGUAACUGUGCACAUCUUGACGGUACCUAAUCAGAAAGCCACGGCUAACUACGUGCCAGCAGCCGCGGUAAUACGUAGGUGGCAAGCGUUAUCCGGAAUUAUUGGGCGUAAAGCGCGCGUAGGCGGUUUUUUAAGUCUGAUGUGAAAGCCCACGGCUCAACCGUGGAGGGUCAUUGGAAACUGGAAAACUUGAGUGCAGAAGAGGAAAGUGGAAUUCCAUGUGUAGCGGUGAAAUGCGCAGAGAUAUGGAGGAACACCAGUGGCGAAGGCGACUUUCUGGUCUGUAACUGACGCUGAUGUGCGAAAGCGUGGGGAUCAAACAGGAUUAGAUACCCUGGUAGUCCACGCCGUAAACGAUGAGUGCUAAGUGUUAGGGGGUUUCCGCCCCUUAGUGCUGCAGCUAACGCAUUAAGCACUCCGCCUGGGGAGUACGACCGCAAGGUUGAAACUCAAAGGAAUUGACGGGGACCCGCACAAGCGGUGGAGCAUGUGGUUUAAUUCGAAGCAACGCGAAGAACCUUACCAAAUCUUGACAUCCUUUGACAACUCUAGAGAUAGAGCCUUCCCCUUCGGGGGACAAAGUGACAGGUGGUGCAUGGUUGUCGUCAGCUCGUGUCGUGAGAUGUUGGGUUAAGUCCCGCAACGAGCGCAACCCUUAAGCUUAGUUGCCAUCAUUAAGUUGGGCACUCUAAGUUGACUGCCGGUGACAAACCGGAGGAAGGUGGGGAUGACGUCAAAUCAUCAUGCCCCUUAUGAUUUGGGCUACACACGUGCUACAAUGGACAAUACAAAGGGCAGCGAAACCGCGAGGUCGAGCAAAUCCCAUAAAGUUGUUCUCAGUUCGGAUUGUAGUCUGCAACUCGACUACAUGAAGCUGGAAUCGCUAGUAAUCGUAGAUCAGCAUGCUACGGUGAAUACGUUCCCGGGUCU